AAACGUAACCAAUAAGAGAUAUGUGAGGAGAUUUAUUAUGAUAAACUGCUCACAGAUUAUGGACCCUGAGAAGACCCACAGUCUACCACCUGCAAGUUGGAGACUCAGGAAAGCCAGCGGUGUCAUUCCACUCUGAGUUUGAAAGCCUGAGAAUCAGGGCAGCUGAUGGUAUAAAUCCUAGUCUGAAGACAAGGGAAGACCAAUAUCCAGCUCAGGGAGCAGACAGAAAGCAAAAGGGAUCUGAGUUAGGACAAUGGGAAGCUAUACCAAAUAAAGAAAGCCUGCCUUGCUUCCAAAGGUUAAUGAAUGAUGGUGAGGUUUAUUAUUCAGGAAGAUGAAAAAAAAAAAAAAAUUCAAAGCAGUUUAAACCAAAUGCAUGUCCGUCCAUAAGGAGCCAUCAUCUCCUGGUGCCUAAGCUACCGCAAGGUCAUCAGAAACUUCUGGCAGCUACUUUAAUUCUUUCAGUGAGUUCCUGCCUUGAACAGGAAAUGGCCGGGACUGGAAGAACAUGGUUCACCUAAUGAGCACACGUUAUCAUCUUGUCCUGUGAUGGAAGAUGACAAGAGGUCUGCAUCACUGUAGGCAAACAGACCAUUCACAUCAGAAUGGACACCUGGCCAGCUGCUUGUCAGGAGGAACUUCAGUCAAAAUGCUGACACUUAAAAGAGACACUUAUUACUACCGGGAGAAAAAGACAUGAUGGAAGUAGUUUCCUACUGUGUGAAAAUGUAUACAAGAUGGAUAUACUUAACACGACGAAAAACAAGACCUUCUACAUUCUGAAUUUCUCUUCCAGCUCUAAAACUAGGGGAUCUAUAUCCAGUUUUGGAUACUUUAGAUCUAUGCUGUCCAAUACAGCAGCCACUAGUAAUAUGGCUAGUCUGAAUUGAGAUGUGCUAUAAGUGUAAAAUGUGCAUCUUAUUGUAAAAGCUUAUUAAAAAUAAACAAAGUAGGAACUCCCUCUGGGGUGCAACGGGAUUGGCAGCGUCUUGGGAGCACUGGGACGUGGGUUGGAUCCCUGGUCGGCACAGUGGAUUAAGGAUCCCGUGUCGCCAGUUUAGUUCGUGGCUGCGGCUUGGAUCUGAUCCCUGGCCCAGGGACCUCCAUAUGCCUUGGGUGGCCGAAAACAAACAAGCAAUGUAGGAGUUUCCAUUAUGGCUUAGCAGGUUAAGAACCCAGCAUAAUGUCCAUGAGGAUGCAGGUUCAGUCCCUGGCUUAGCUCAUUGGGUUAAGCCACAGGCUGCGGCUUGGACCCCUGGUUGCUGUGGCUAUGGUGUCGACCAGCAGCUGCAGCUCUGAUUCAACUCCUAGCCCUGGGAACUUCCAUACGCACAGGUGAGGCUCUUAAAAAAAAAAAAAAUGUAAAAGAUUUUAUCAAUAUUUUAAAUAAUAAUCCCAUGUUGAAAUCAGAAUAUUUUUGCUAUUUUGGGUUAAACAAAGUGUGUUUAAAAAUUAUUUAUUUUUCAAUUUUUAAAUGUGGCUAUUAGAAAAAUUUUAAAUACAUUUAUAGUUUGCAUUAUAAUUCUAUCAGAUGGCACUGUUUCAUGUAUAACUGUAUUUAUUGUAUUCAGAGAUAACAACCUGGAGCUGGCCCUUUUGGGUUUAGAUAAAAUGUCCACUAACGCUACCUCCAACAGGGUUAUUCUCAUAAGCAAAUGUCACUGUGCUCAGUGUUCUAUGAGACAAAAACAUAGUAACUUGCACCACAGAUAAGGCCAAUGUUUUAUCGUUGCACUAAAUUCAAAAGAAGGCUCACCAUGAAGAAGCUUGCUUAUAAACAGUUUUACAGCUCACUAACAGCAGACCUUUUCUUACUCUGGCUUUAGCUAUCUGAGCUAGCAUAAACAGCUAAA
rnacentral:lncRNA from 1 species